AAAAGAAUUAGGAUUUAUACAAAGCACAAUAUUACAAUCUAAAUUUAAUAAAGUUGUUGAUCAAUUUUUGUGUGUGAAAUCUCGAUGAAAUGAAAUGAAAAGGGCGCGUAAAACAAUUUAUAAAGUCCGAAAACCGAAUUUCUCAGUAUUGUGCAGCAGAAAUAGUAAGACAUCUGAAAAAGAAAAGAAAUGCAAAUACUUUUGAAUGAUUUUAAUGU
rnacentral:lncRNA from 1 species